rnacentral:rRNA from 1 species
GACGAACGCUGGCGGCGUGCUUAACACAUGCAAGUCGAGCGGUAAGGCCCUUUCGGGGGUACACGAGCGGCGAACGGGUGAGUAACACGUGGGUGACCUGCCCUCAGCUCUGGGAUAAGCCUGGGAAACCGGGUCUAAUACCGGAUAUGACUCCAUGACGCAUGUUGUGGGGUGGAAAGCCUUGUGCGGCUGAGGAUGGGCCCGCGGCCUAUCAGCUCGUUGGUGGGGUGANGGCCUACCAAGGCGACGACGGGUAGCCGGCCUGAGAGGGCGACCGGCCACACUGGGACUGAGACACGGCCCAGACUCCUACGGGAGGCAGCAGUGGGGAAUCUUGCGCAAUGGGCGAAAGCCUGACGCAGCGACGCCGCGUGAGGGAUGACGGCCU